UCCCCGAUAGCUCAACGGUAGAGCGUCCGGCUGUUAACCGGUAGGUUGUUGGUUCGAAUCCAGCUCGGGGAGCCA
rnacentral:tRNA from 1 species